UUUUCAGAUGCAGAAGCUUCCUGAGAACCAGUGCUUGCUAAUAAUUCAGUGGGCUGCACAUCAGUAUGUCCAGGACACUUGGAGGCAGAAGGAAUAUUUUCUCUGACAGAAAGGUCACUGCCAGAGGUACUAGAUGUCACCCAUGUAAACUUCAAGUUGUUGCCUUGCCAACAACUGCCAUUUAAAAACGCCCUCUCAGCUGAACGGCGAGUUGUGAAAGUCAAGCGGGCUGAGCAAUUUUUU
rnacentral:misc_RNA from 1 species